CCGGCCUUAGCUCAGUUGGUAGUAGCGGCAGACUGUAGUGAGAUAUGUCUCUCAGGCAUCUGUAGGUCCCUGGUUCGACUCCGGGAGGCCGGA